GAGUUUGAUCCUGGCUCAGAGCGAACGUUAGCGGGAGGCUUAACACAUGCAAGUCGAGCGAGAACAGUCCUUCGGGGCUUAGUACAGCGGCGGACGGGUGAGUAACACGUGGAUAAUCUGCCCUUUGGCGGGGGACAACAACAGCUCGAAAGGGUUGCUAAUACCGCAUAAGUCUAGUCAGCCUUUGGGUUGAUUAGGGAAAGAUGGCCUCUUCUUGAAAGCUAUCACCGAAGGAUGAGUCCGCGUAGCAUCAGCUAGUUGGUGGGGUAAUGGCCUACCAAGGCUAAGACGCUUAGCUGGUCUGAGAGGAUGAUCAGCCACACUGGGACUGAGAUACGGCCCAGACUCCUACGGGAGGCAGCAGUGGGGAAUAUUAGACAAUGGGCGCAAGCCUGAUCUAGCCAUCCCGCGUGAGUGAUGAAGGCCCUUGGGUCGUAAAGCUCUGUGGGGAGAGACGAAACCUGAAGGGAACAAUACCCCUUCAACUGACGGUAUCUCCUUAGCAAGCGCCGGCUAACUCCGUGCCAGCAGCCGCGGUAAUACGGAGGGCGCGAACGUUGCUCGGAAUCAUUGGGCGUAAAGCGCGUGUAGGCGGCUAGGUCAGUCGGGCGUGAAAGCCCUGGGCUCAACCCAGGAAGUGCGUCCGAUACUGCCCGGCUAGAGUACGGGAGAGGGUAGUGGAAUUCCCGGUGUAGAGGUGAAAUUCGGAGAUAUCAGGAGGAACACCAGUGGCGAAGGCGGCUACCUGGACCAAGACUGACGCUGAGGCACGAAAGCGUGGGGAGCGAACAGGAUUAGAUACCCUGGUAGUCCACGCCGUAAACGAUGAGUGCUGGUUGUCGCGGGUAUUGACCCCUGCGGUAACGAAGCUAACGCGUUAAGCACUCCGCCUGGGGAGUACGGCCGCAAGGCUAAAACUCAAAGGAAUUGACGGGGGCCCGCACAAGCGGUGGAGCAUGUGGUUUAAUUCGAUGCAACGCGCAGAACCUUACCUGGGUUGGAAACCCCCCGAACGCCCUAGAGAUAGGGAAGUGCCCUUCGGGGAACACCGAACACAGGUGCUGCAUGGCUGUCGUCAGCUCGUGUCGUGAGAUGUUGGGUUAAGUCCCGCAACGAGCGCAACCCUUGUCUUUAGUUGCCAGCGGUUCGGCCGGGCACUCUAGAGAGACUGCCGGUGUUAAACCGGAGGAAGGUGGGGAUGACGUCAAGUCCUCAUGGCCCCUAUGUCCAGGGCUACACACGUGCUACAAUGGCGACCACAACGGGCUGCAACACCGCAACGUGGAGCUAAUCCCUAAAAGACCGCCUCAGUUCGGAUAGAAGUCUGCAACUCGACUUCAUGAAGUCGGAAUCGCUAGUAAUCGGAGAUCAGAACGCUCCGGUGAAUACGUUCCCGGGCCUUGUACACACCGCCCGUCACACCAUGGAAGUCGGAUGCUCCAGAAGUGGCUGAGCUAACCUUCGGGAGGCAGGUCCCCAAGGAGUGUCCGGUGACUGGGGUGAAGUCGUAACAAGGUAACCGUA
rnacentral:rRNA from 1 species